ACGAAAGGAAAGCUGGGUGGUGAGCGAGAGCCGGAGUGGGCUUUGGGGCGGCGGAGCAAAUCGUUGCCGCGCUCGCCGAUCGCGGGUGGGGGGACGAUUGGGCGAAGGCGUUGUGAAGAUAAAGCUGCGCGCCUUUGCUUGGACCCUCUGGACAGCGUGAAGGUAUAAAAUUUUGGUAACAGCAGGUGGCAACAUCUUGAGAAACUGAUCUUGAGAAAGCUAUGCAGGUUUAGAUCAGAUUUCACUAUUUGGGAGCAAAUAUGCAGAGUACAUCAAAUUAUCUGUGGCUUCUAUCAGAUAUCCUGGGACAAGGAGCUACUGCAAAUGUUUUCCGUGGACGACACAAGAAAACUGGAGACUUGUAUGCUGUCAAAGUAUUUAAUAACUUUAGUUUCCUUCGUCCAGUGGAUGUUCAGAUGAGGGAGUUUGAAGUGUUAAAGAAACUAAAUCACAAGAACAUUGUCAAAUUAUUUGCCAUAGAAGAAGAGACAACCUCUAGACAUAAAGUCCUUGUUAUGGAAUUUUGUCCAUGUGGCAGUUUAUAUACAGUUUUGGAAGAGCCAUCUAAUGCUUAUGGAUUGCCGGAAACAGAAUUUUUAAUUGUAUUGAGAGAUGUUGUGGCUGGUAUGAACCAUCUUCGAGAAAAUGGAAUAGUGCAUCGUGACAUCAAACCAGGCAAUAUCAUGCGUGUUAUAGGUGAAGAUGGUCAAUCAGUUUAUAAGCUAACAGAUUUUGGGGCUGCUAGGGAGUUGGAUGAUGAUGAACAGUUUGUCUCUCUCUAUGGAACAGAAGAAUAUUUGCAUCCUGACAUGUAUGAGCGAGCAGUAUUGCGGAAGGACCACCAAAAAAAGUAUGGAGCAACAGUUGACCUGUGGAGCAUUGGAGUGACUUUUUAUCAUGCUGCAACUGGAAGUCUACCAUUUCGACCUUUUGAAGGGCCACGUAGAAAUAAGGAAGUGAUGUAUAAAAUUAUAACUGGAAAACCUUCUGGUGCAAUAUCUGGAGUACAGAAAGCAGAAAAUGGUCCCAUUGAAUGGAGUCGUGAUAUGCCUGUUUCCUGUAGUCUUUCUAAGGGAUUGCAGGUGCUGCUUACACCUGUCCUUGCGAAUAUUCUUGAAGCGGAUCAAGAAAAGUGUUGGGGAUUUGAUCAGUUUUUUGCAGAGACGAGUGACAUACUUCAUCGGAUAAUUAUUCAUGUCUUCUCUCUUCAACAAAUGACUGCACACAAAAUUUAUAUUCACAAUCAUAAUAAUACUACCGUAUUUAAUGAACUUGUCUACAAACAGACGAAAAUACCUUCACACAAUCAAGAAUUGGUAUAUGAAGGCCGGCGUUUAGUACUAGAACCUAGCAGACUGGCACAAGUUUUCCCUAAAGCCACAGAGGAAAAUCCUAUAAUUGUAGUAAGCAGAGAAGCUGUAAACGUCAUAGGAUUACUUUAUGAAGAAAUUUUGCUUCCUAAGGUUCAUCAACGUUAUGACUUGGAUAGUGAUGCAAGUAUGGCGAAAGUAGUAACAGGAGUUGUAUGUUAUGCCUGUAGAAUUGCCCAAGCUUUACUGCUUUAUCAAGAGCUCAUGCGAAAAGGAAUCAGAUGGCUAAUUGAAAUCAUCAAAGAAGAAUAUAAUGAAACAUUCCACAAAAAGACAGAGGUUGUUAUCAAGCUGGAAUGUUGCAAUAGAAAUACAGAAAAAGCUAUGAAAAUAUACCAAAAUCUGGCACUGUCAGAAGUGGAUGACAUUUUAGACAUACACUCAAAACUGUUACUGCUUUCUAGUUCUCAAGGAACAAUAGAGACCAGUCUUCAGGAUAUCAAAAACAAGCUUUCUCCUAGUGGUUUACUAUCUGACAGCUGGACUAGCCAAGAUGGUACACAUCCAAAAGAUAGAAACCCAGAAAAAUUGCAAGUCCUACUGACUUCCAUAACUGAUAUUUAUUAUCAAUUUAAAAAAGAUAAAGCAGAAAGAAGACUUCCUUAUAAUGAAGAGCAAAUUCACAAAUUUGACAAACAAAAACUGUUUUUGCAUGCCACAAAAGCCAUGACUCUGUUCAAGGAAGAAUGUCUCAACAAAUAUGAAACCUUUUUAGAUAAGGCAGAGGAUUGGAUGAGAAAGAUGCUUCUUCUAAAGAAACAGUUACUAGGUCUUAGAAAACUAUGCUUUGAUAUUGAGGAAGAGGUGUCCAAAUACCAGGACUAUGUAAACGAGUUAGAUGAAACAUUGCCCCAUAAGAUGCUAGCUGCUUCCAGUGGGAUCAAACAUACAUUUAAUCCAGUUUAUCCCAGUUCAAACACUUUGGUGGAAAUGACUCUUGGUAUGAAGAAACUGAAAGAAGAAAUGGAGGGUGUUGUUAAAGAACUAGCUGAAAAUAAUCAUCUUUUAGAAAGGUUUGGUGCUUUGACAAUGGAUGGUGGCCCACGAAAUGUAGAUUAUAUCCUCAGUCAAUGACUCACGGUUACAGCUGAGGUUCAUCCGGAAUGCAAUGGUAAUCUGGAUCCAUUUCAAAGCCUAGAUGGUACAUAUGCAUGUAUGUGCAUCUUCUCUUCCAAGGUAAGAGUGUAUUUUAGGAACUAGACUAUGCUUGGUAGAACUUGCAGAUUACUGUAGUAUAUUUGCUUUUCUAAAAUGCUGUUGGAUUAUUUACUAUUUUUGCUGGUAGCAGACUAAGUCUAGUACCCCGCUGGAAGCAAUUCUUUUCAUCAAACAAAAAUAGUCGUUAUGGGGGAGUCUGAAUGAAGGGAUUGCCUUAUAGCAAGAAUAAGGGACAGAUGGAACAGAAUCAGCAGGUCCUGUAAUAUAGUCACAUGAUCUAAAGGAAGAUGAUGCUUAUCUGAGACAGCCAGCUGCUCUAACAAAGAGUUAAAUCAAGCAUACCUUGAUUUAAGAAUGCAUCUCCUUUCAUGUCCCAUAUUUAUUUUAUUUAAUUAUCCAAUUUCUAUACUGCCCCUCACCAGCUGGUUUAUAAUAAAACCAUAAAAACAUAAUUAAAAGUAAUAUUAAAACAGAAUUUUUAAAGUUAAACAUUACAAAAGUUACUCCUAGGGUUGUAUACCACUCUUACAGCCCCAUGUUAGUUGGCAAAGCCAACUAACAUUCUUCCCAAAAGAGGAGGGGUUCACCUCACCACUGGAAACAAGAUGUUCCAUAGGGCAGGAGUAACAGCAGAGAAGGCUCUCUUCCUAGACGCUACCAGUGGAAAUUAUUUAACCAAUGGGGUUCGCACCAACUCCCUGGUUGAUUAGAUGGGACAGGUUGAUGACGGUUCCUCAUAUGUUUAAUUUUCAGAUAUUAGGCAUUUGGGUCUUAUAAGCAAUUAAAAAUGAUGCGAGAUCGAAUUUGGAUUGGUCACCGGGACCAGAAAUUUACUCUUCUGAGCUUUCAGACUCAUGCUGGAGCCCAUUUUCAGGGAAUUUCUUCUACUGGAAUAUGUGCUUUGGGCUAUUCAAUUAAAAAUGACUCUAUAAUUACAUAUAUUAUUUGGUCAAUUUCUCCAUAGAAAUAUUAGCAUUUCUUGUAAUAAUUUUAAUUAAGUAGAUUAAACAAUGAAAUAGUAAUCUGCAUGGGCUAAUCCAGAGUCUAAUCCAUUUUCUUCAUGUAGACAUUCUGUGUUGUGAAAUCAUCACUAGGUUUCUGUUGUAUUGAUCCAUGGACUUAAUUUAACAUUUGGAUUAUUUACUAUUUUGCUUCUGCUUGAUCUUUUACGGACCUGUGCUUCUAAAUUCUAAUUUAGAAUUUCUGUGUCUUUCCAUGUUCUGGUUAGCUAUCAGUUGUGUUAUCUUUGGCUGAAGAUUUCUUCAUACUAUAGCAAAAAUGCCUUGUGUUUGGGUGUUGGCUGAGAGCUAUAAUCACACAAUAAUUGGAACCAAGAACAUCUGCUAAAUUUGAUGAGAGAAACAGAUUGCUAUCAAAAAGAGCCACUGAAUUUAAGCAAUUAAUUCUGCAAACUGUUACCAUAAGCACAGGAACAAUAAAGCACCAGCACAGGGAUGUCAAACUUGCAAUGUCACGUGAUGUGUUGCGAUGUAUGGUGACUUUUUUUCCAUUGCUGGCAAUGGGGUGGGUGCAGUUUCACCAUGACGCAUCCGGCCUGUGGGCCGGCAGUUUGACACCCCUGCACUAGCACAAAGCAUAAGGAAGGGAAUAGUUAAUUAAGGUAAUAUUAUCUACCUUGGUAAUAACUGCAGAAUUAUAGACUGCCAGAAUCUAUAAACUACCAGACAAUAUGUAGGAAAAUGGCAAAUAAAGUCAACAGGGAAAUGGGACCCCUGAAGUGGCUCUAUCCAUUCUGAGAUAAGAUACAAUUCCUCUGAAGGGCUCAGCACCUUUGGAUAAACUGGUACCAAGAGAAAGUCUUUGUGCAUAGGAAAGAGGAAAAUGGGUGUUUUUUCAGACACUAGGAGAAAAAAAGUAUAUCAUAUGUUCUUGGAAGCUGAGACCUCUUAUUAUCUGAUUGGAAAAAAAUCCAUUAUAAUUCAACUCCUAUUGUUAGAAUCCCAUUGCACAUAUUAUACAAAAAUUAGGGCAUGAAACUUUGGUGCUGCUACUGCAUGGGCAUCACAUCCAUCCCUUGUGGUCACCAGCCAUCAUUCUUCCUGGACAGUAGAACUAGUUUAUUUCAGGGAGGCAAGGAGAAGUCUGCUAUGGCACAACUGAAAGCACAUAGUUUCUGAUACAGUAGUGGAGCUCCAUGAGGCUUGUGGAUAAUCCAUUUUCCCAUUUAUUCUUUCGAACCUUUGCCUUGUUCUGCCCUUUGCUAUCUGACCUUGGAGCUUUCCCCAAGGCAGUAUAUCUAUGAUCGCUAUAUUACAGUUGGAAAAGGCCAUUUGGCCAUCACAUUAAACCUGUUAACUGUUGGCCAACCCUUUGCUCUUAAUCCUAGUCUGUUUCACAAUCCUUGCAAACAGUCCAAGUUGAUUUAUUCUGAAGAAAUAGACUCCUAUCUUACUCCAUUUUCCAGCCUUCAGGCAUAUUUUUUUUCCUAGCCUCUUCUUCAAUCAGAGACUCUAUGCUGGAACUUACAACCAUGGUCUGGCUGCAUAACUACAGUGUCAUGUUGUAAUCAUGGUUUACAGUGGUAUUUAAAACAUGGGAAGAAUUAUGCUUGAUUUUUGGGGAGGACAAAAUGUGCAGGAAUACUGAAAAUAUAGGGAAUGAUUAUAGCUUGCAGGGCAGGGGACCAUAAAUGAUUUUUUACAUUAUUCUGUUAGUGGGUUAGAGAAAACACUGAUGAACUCAUGAUGCUUCCUGUCUUUUGUCUAUGUUCCACAGUGACCAGUGGUGAAGAUAAUGGCCAAGCAGACUUGGAAAUGAAAAGUCUGGAAAAGAAAUUAUGAUAGGAAAAUGCCCUGGAUGAUUCAUAAUAAUGGAAUUAAGAGAUUUAAGAGAAUUGUGCUUAAUAAUAAAAAAAGGACUGUAUAAAUCA